AUGCGGUUCAAAUCAGAAAUUAAUGAGUAUUAAAAUGCCAUCAGAUUUCAUAAAUAAUAUAAGAAUACUAAUUUGAAGCAGAAAAUUAAAUAUGAUCUUAAAAUAGAGUAGAACUAGAAAUCCAACUUGAAGUAGGACUCUAAGAAAUCAGCAC